rnacentral:rRNA from 1 species
UACGUAGGGUGCGAGCGUUGUCCGGAAUCAUUGGGCGUAAAGAGCGUGUAGGCGGCUCGGUAAGUCCGCUGUGAAAGUCCAGGGCUCAACCCUGGAAUGCCAGUGGAAACUGUCGAGCUAGAGUCCGGAAGAGGCGAGUGGAAUUCCUGGUGUAGCGGUGAAAUGCGCAGAUAUCAGGAGGAACACCAAUGGCGAAGGCAGCUCGCUGGGACGGUACUGACGCUGAGACGCGAAAGCGUGGGGAGCAAACAGG